rnacentral:rRNA from 1 species
UGUAAAGUGGUGCAUGGUUGUCGUCAGCUCGUGUCGUGAGAUGUUGGGUUAAGUCCCGCAACUAGCGCAACCCUCGUCCCAUGUUGCCAGCGGGUUAUGCCGGGGACUCAUGGGAGACUGCCGGGGUCAACUCGGAGGAAGGUGGGGAUGACGUCAAAUCAUCAUGCCCCUUAUGUCUUGGGCUUCACGCAUGCUACAAUGGCCGGUACAAAGGGCUGCGAUACCGCGAGGUGGAGCGAAUCCCAAAAAGCCGGUCUCAGUUCGGAUUGGGGUCUGCAACUCGACCCCAUGAAGUCGGAGUCGCUAGUAAUCGCAGAUC